rfam:Eutrema salsugineum unplaced genomic scaffold scaffold_1, whole genome shotgun sequence.
UGAUAGUGGAUGAACCAUAUUCCUGUUUCAUAUAUUAAGAUAUUAAUGCUUGUAUUCCUCUCUUUAUGGAAUUUCGAGUUUGGCUACACUACUUUUUUU